UCAUAGUUUUAAGGAUUUGUUUGGCAUAGAUUAAGAGGUGUUAUUGAGGGGAUAGGACAGGGUGUCUCUGUUAAUCUGUUUGGCAAUUUGGAUACUGGGUAAAUAAAAUUAAUAUUUUGGUAGAAUGUUUGGGUUUUGUUAGUUUAUUUUUUUAUGAAUUUGUGUGCCUGCAGCUGUAGUGUCUCUGCUGCAAGUCUCAGUAUCCAUUCAUGUUUGUGUGCAUCAGGCAGUCCACUCGUGUACCAGCGAGACCCCCCUGCAAGCGGCCGCAGAGCCGCUCCUUCGCUCUCCUGGGAAUUCGGGGAGCGGCACACGGCUCUGCGACGAAGCCUUGAUCUUUGUCACUUGGAGGUGGCACCAGGGAGCCUCAGGAGCGGCCGAGGAGUUGCUCCAGGCAGACCCUGCCAGGAGAGCGUGGGCGAAGCGUGCGGCCCGAGGAGCCCGGCGUUCUCAAGAGAAUAAUGCUGAGCACGGGACCACAGCCCGGUGACCAAAGGACAUUCCCCGCAGGCGAGGCAGCCUCCAUUGCCACGCGACGUGGAUUCUCAUCCCCAGAUGCCAGAGAGAUAAGUGGAGGGCUAAGGCCCGCAGAGGGGGUGAAAGCGGGGUGCUGGGAGGGCCUUUAGGAUCAGCUUUGGGGGCAGGGAUGUGCAAGAAGUGUCCCCUUAGGCCAGCUAAAGGCAAAGUGACUGUUUUGAUCUCAGUGCUGAGGUGCUCAGGGCAGAGCAGUUUUGGUGUGUGUCCUGUCACUUGUCUCUGGUGCACUCUGUGUUCUUUGGGUCUCUCAGUCCUUUCUUCUCCUCAAAAGCUCUCUCUCCCUGUCCUGUCUCCUGGUUUGUCAAAUCCUAUCCUGUGUCACGGGUGUCUGCAUGUAUUUAACCCACAGCUGCUCUGCCCUGCU